AAAAUUUUAUAAUAUUUAUGAAUAUAAUAUAAAUAACAGCGAAUAUGGGGGGCUGGAUGAAAUUUCACAACCAAGCCGUAAGUUACGUUUAACGUAACUUAGGCGGACCCGCAUGCAAGUCUUGCGUUGCAUCCAAAGGGUGAAUUUAAAAAAGACAAAAAAAUGGGGCACCAAACCCCAGAGGCAACGUAGCUGGACAAAAAAUGGACCCUUCAAAUUUUGUUCUUUUCUCUUUAAUUUCCUUUUUCUCCGGUGUCCACUUUUGCUUUUCUUUCUUUCAUUCUUUCCCUUUAAAAAUUUAAAUGCUUUUCUUUCUUUCCCUUUAAAAAUUUAAAUUUCCAAUUUUUCAUUAUCGUAACAAAAAGCGGCCACAUGUGGCAAUUUGCAGAGCCACGUGCUACACAUUUUUUUUUUUAAAGCAAGACAUGAAAGCACAAUUAUUGUUCGAUCAUCUAGAAGUCAGUAAACCUUUUUAUCUUUCAAAUAAAAAUAAAAAUAAAUAAUCUUUAUUUUAUUUAAUUUAUCUUUUAAAAUAUGGAAGAAGAAUAAAAACUCAAAUUAAUUUUUUAAUUAUCUAAUUUUCUUAGAUUCAAACUCGUGGUGGCCAGCAAACUACAUUCUUUUGGAAAACAUAUGGUAGAAAUAAAAUAAAUCUUAAUUAUUAUAUCUAAUAGUCAACAAAUGAAGGAGAUUGUGUUAAAUUCUAUAUAAUUAAUGACAGAUUUAUUGACUUGAAUUGAAAUUCUAUUAUGAUCUAAACUUCUUUUCAACAAAAUUGGUUCAAUGGCUGAAAUUAUUGCAACGUUUUUCUCAACAUUCUCCAUUUUAUAUAUGGAUGUUGAUUGCAGAGUACAUUAGGGUUUACCGGUAGGAUCGACGACAAGCCCUAAAUUAAUAAAGCUGUUAGCUGUAUAAGGCUGUUAGUUUUUUGUGUUUACGCUUACAAAGCUGAUAAAUAAAGAAAAAGGAUGGAUUUUGAUUUGUUAUUUUCGCUCAAGAAUUGAAAAGUUAGGUAGCCGAUAAAGUCAAAGGAGUGGCCCCUCUUUGUUACCUAAUCAAGAAAACAAAGUACGAAAACGAAUGACCGUCAAAAGAAAGAAUUAGAGACAGCAAGAAAAAGUGGCAACGUGGCUUGGGCCUAGAAAUUUAUUGAUUGAUUUUCAAAAAGAACGAUUUGACUGCACCAAUUUAAAAUUUCAUUUAGCCACCAGUCCUCCUUUUUAUUUAUAAUUUAUUUAUAAGUAUCAGGUUAAUUUGUGCCUACAUCCAGUUCUACAAUUCAGUAAGCAGCUUACCCUCUUUCAUAUUUACAUUUAUUUUAUUCUAUAUUGCAACUGUAUCGCCAUAUAGUCUCUUUUGUACUUUGAGAUUGAGACAGAAUCAUUAUCAUAUUCAAUUUUGCACACCAUACAUUUUUUUUUAUAUACACUUUAUUUAUAUUAUGUACUUUUAUUUACAUCCACUAUUAAAUUUCAUUUAACACCUCACACUCUAUUUAUUUAUGAUUUUAAUAAGUACUAGGGUGCUUAGGAAUAGCAAUGGGCACUACACACUGCGGGCUUGCCGUUACCAAACUCGCACCCAUAAAAAUUUAAAGUAUUAACCCGCCUGCAACUCACAGUAGGUUUUUAUUUAAAAAAAAAACCCACCCAUAGUGGAUUUUAACAAUUACCAAACCCACACGUAACCUGCAGCGGAUUUUUUUUGGGUUUUUUCAUUUAAAAUCACAAAUAUUAAAAACUACUUUUAAUCAUGCAUAAAAACUUAAAUAAUAUAAUUCAAAUUAUAUUUUUUUUAACAAUAGCCUAAAAAAUCCGCAUACAAUACUAAUUCUAGAUUUUACCAAUAUAAGUAAGAAAUUAAAAUUUUAACGUUAAAAAAAAUACACAAAAUAUAUUAAUAUAACACAAAAUAUUUAUGUUUUAGGCAAAUAAUCAUCACUAAUGUCAAUGUCUUACUCAACCUUUUAAUCAAUAUACAAGUAUUAUCAACAAUACUGGCAAGUAAAUUUAAAUAGAACUACCAUUAGUAAUUAAUUAAACAAAAAAAAACCCAACUUUAGUAAGUAAUCAUUAGGUUCAAGCCAUUAAAGGAAAACAAACAAAAUUAAUCAAAUUAAAAUAAGAUAUCACUAAUAUUAAAUUUGAAAAUUAUAAAAUUUCUACUUAUUAAAAGCUUAUUUUGUGUGUGUGUAUAUAUAUAUAUGCUGCAGUGAUAUAGGUUAAGGUUAGGAAUCGAAAACUUUAACUUACAAAUAUUUAUGAUUAAAAUUGAAAAUAUAAAUAAUUAAAAUAAAGAUUGUGGGAUGGUGGAUACCUGCAUUGGUAUUUGACCGAUUUUUUCUCAAUACUAAACCCACCUAUAACCUAUAGUGUGUUUUAUGGGUGGGUAGUUUAACUAUUUUUAUGGGUGCAUUUGGGUGUGUUUGCCGCACUGUAUCACAUUAAGUUGUAUUAUAUGAUAUUAUAUUACAUUAGGCUGUAUUAAUUGCAUUGCUUUAAGCUGUAAUUAAUGUUAUGUGUA
rnacentral:lncRNA from 1 species